UACGUAGGGUGCGAGCGUUGUCCGGAUUGACUGGGCGUAAAGCGCACGCAGGCGGCUGUGCACGUGGGGUGUGAAAGCUGGCGGCUUAACUGCCAGACGCCACCUCAUACGGCACAGCUCGAGCCCGUGAGAGGUCCACGGAAUUGCCGGUGUAGUGGUGAAAUGCGUAGAGAUCGGCAGGAACACCCAGGGGGAAACCAGUGGACUGGCACGGUGCUGACGCUCAGGUGCGAAAGCGUGGGGAGCGAACCGG
rnacentral:rRNA from 1 species